GAAAAACUGAGUUUUUUAAAAUUAUAACAGACACCGAACCAAAAAAAUCAAAAGCCAAAUUAGAAUGAUUCGAUUUUUCGACUAUAACCAAACUCUGCUCAGACCUAUGCACAAUAUUAUAAGGCUGCAAAUCAAAAGCAAAGUUUGUCAAUUACUCAAUUGAUGCAAAUCGAAUCUCAUCAACCUUUUCAAGCUAGUUUCUGCCAGUUAUUAAACAUUUCCAUCAUGGGAAGCAGUUAAAAUCAGUAAUGACAGUGAGUUCAAAUUACCACUUGAGCAUUCAUUUGUCUCCUGAACAUGGAUUCAUCUGAGCUAAUGGUCACAUAUGCAAGACAUCAAC
rnacentral:misc_RNA from 1 species